rnacentral:rRNA from 1 species
UACGUAGGGUGCAAGCGUUGUCCGGAAUUAUUGGGCGUAAAGAGCUCGUAGGCGGUCUGUCGCGUCGGCUGUGAAAACCCGGAGCUCAACUCCGGGCCUGCAGUCGAUACGGGCAGACUGGAGUUCGGCAGGGGAGACUGGAAUUCCUGGUGUAGCGGUGAAAUGCGCAGAUAUCAGGAGGAACACCGGUGGCGAAGGCGGGUCUCUGGGCCGAUACUGACGCUGAGGAGCGAAAGCGUGGGGAGCGAACAGA